UGGGGAAUAUUGGACAAUGGGCGCAAGCCUGAUCCAGCCAUGCCGCGUGAGUGAUGAAGGCCCUAGGGUUGUAAAGCUCUUUCACCGGUGAAGAUAAUGACGGUAACCGGAGAAGAAGCCCCGGCUAACUUCGUGCCAGCAGCCGCGGUAAUACGAAGGGGGCUAGCGUUGUUCGGAUUUACUGGGCGUAAAGCGAACGUAGGAGGACUAUUAAGUUAGGGGUGAAAUCCCGGGGCUCAACCCCGGAACUGCCUUUGAUACUGGUAGUCGUGAGUUCGAGAGAGGGGAGUGGAAUUCCGAGUGUAGAGGUGAAAUUCGUAGAUAUUCGGAGGAACACAAGUGGAGAAGGCGGCUCACUGGGUAGAUAAUGACGCUGAGGUGCGAAAGCGAGGGGAGCAAACAGG
rnacentral:rRNA from 1 species